GACGAACGCUGGCGGCGUGCCCAAUACAUGCAAGUCGAACGCACAGUUUAUACCGUAGCUUGCUACACCAUAGACUGUGAGUUGCGAACGGGUGAGUAACGCGUAGGUAACCUGCCUGGUAGCGGGGGAUAACUAUUGGAAACGAUAGCUAAUACCGCAUAAUAUUAAUUAUUGCAUGAUAAUUAAUUGAAAGGUGCAAUUGCACCACUACCAGAUGGACCUGCGUUGUAUUAGCUAGUAGGUGAGGUAACGGCUCACCUAGGCGACGAUACAUAGCCGACCUGAGAGGGUGAUCGGCCACACUGGGACUGAGACACGGCCCAGACUCCUACGGGAGGCAGCAGUAGGGAAUCUUCGGCAAUGGACGAAAGUCUGACCGAGCAACGCCGCGUGAGUGAAGAAGGUUUUCGGAUCGUAAAGCUCUGUUGUAAGAGAAGAACGGGUGUGAGAGUGGAAAGUUCACACUGUGACGGUAUCUUACCAGAAAGGGACGGCUAACUACGUG
rnacentral:rRNA from 1 species